ACCCCUACGGGGGGCAGCAGUGGGGAAUUUUGGACAAUGGGGGCAACCCUGAUCCAGCAAUGCCGCGUGAGUGAAGAAGGCCUUCGGGUUGUAAAGCUCUUUUGUCAGGGAAGAAACGGUAGUAGCGAAUAACUACUACUAAUGACGGUACCUGAAGAAUAAGCACCGGCUAACUACGUGCCAGCAGCCGCGGUAA
rnacentral:rRNA from 1 species